CAGAAAGCAUUAAUAACAGCCAAGAACAGCCUUCAAAGAACAUACAAGCAGCAUUCGAACCAUGAAAACAGACUGCAGUUUUACUCCAAAGUUCAGUAGUUAAUUAAAGACCAGCAGAAAAAGAAGACAAUUUUUGUUAUUGGCAGGAGGAAGAAAUUUUCCUUUAAGCAUAUAUUUUACAUUAAGGGAAAUGUAUUUAUGUGUGUGUCUUCAUGGAGUGUCAAUUAACAGAUGGGUGGCCUUUCAAGAGGUGCCAGAAGGUCCCCCUAAUGGCUAUGAGGGUUGUAGAGGGCAAGAAUCACCAGCAGCAAUGUCUUAUGCUGGAAGACUGUGGUUUGAAGAUACAUAGGUCUGUAUAGGGAAAGUGCAUAUCUAAGAUUAUAUCUAGAUAAUUUUAGAUUGGGGAAUCAUAUGACGUCACAAGACAACUUUUUAUUAAAAUAAGAAUAAUAUGUUUCUGCCA
ensembl:lncRNA novel transcript